GGCUAACUACGUGCCAGCAGCCGCGGUAAUACGUAGGUGGCAAGCGUUGUCCGGAGUUUAUUGGGCGUAAAGCGAGCGCAGGCCGGGUUUUUAAGGUUCUUGAUGUGAAAGACCUUCGGCUCAACCGAAGAAAGUAGCAUCGGAAACUACGGGAAACGUUAGAGUGCAGAAGAGGACAGUGGAACUCCAUGUGUAGCGGUGAAAUGCGUAGAUAUAUGGAAGAACACCAGUGGCGAAGGCGGCUGUCUGGUCUGUAACUGACGCUGAGGCUCGAAAGUAUGGGUAGCAAACAGGAUUAGAUACCCUGGUAG
rnacentral:rRNA from 1 species